rnacentral:rRNA from 1 species
AUUGAACGCUGGCGGCAGGCCUAACACAAGCAAGUCGAAAGAGUGGCGGACGGGUGAGUAAUGGAUGGGAAACUGCCCGAUGGAGGGGGAUAACUACUGGAAACGGUAGCUAAUACCGCAUACCAUCGGAUGUGCCCAGAUGGGAUUAGCUAGUAGGGGGGGUAAAGGCUCACCUGGGCGACGAUCCGUAGCUGGUCUGAGAGGAUGACCAGCCACACUGGAACUGAGACACGGUCCAUAACACUACGGGAUGCAGAAGUGGGGAAUAUUGCACAAUGGGCGCAAGCUUGAUGCAGCCAGGCCGCGUGUAUGAAGAAGGCCUUCGUGUUGUAAAGUACUUUCAGCGAGGAGUCGUUACUCGCAGAAGAAGCACUGGCUAACUCCGUGCCAGCCGCCGCGGUAAUAC